rnacentral:misc_RNA from 1 species
GACAGAUUAUAGAUAUAUAAUCACAAUAGAAUUUCUAUAAAAUUUUAUAUCAAAAGAAAAAUCCUACAUAUAUAUAUAUAACUCGUUUAAGCCUUUGCCAAAAUCUAAUAACAAAGCUAUUUAGUAAUCCCAUAAACUAUGGCUAGUUAUUUUAUUUAUAAUCAUUAAUUUUAUUGUUGUGAAUUGUGAUGAAAAUAGUGCUUCUAAAUUUUAAUAUUCAACUAACUUAUAUCUAAAUCUAUUAUUUUCUUUAUACAGAAUUAUCAACUUUCAAAAGUUUGGAGAUUUUGAAUUUAAUGGUAAAUGAAUUUACUGGAAGU